UUGCCCCUUUGCUUUUGAAAGCAGAAACACUGAAUCACUGUGUUCUGUAUUAAAAGCUGAUCUGUUCCCCUCCCCAAAGGAUGGAUGGAAAAGCAGCUCUGCUCUUAGUGGGAGGUGAGGAGGGUAGAAGAAGUGGCCAGUGUGGUUGUAGCAGAUGCCACUUGCCACACUGGCACAGAGUCCUAAGACAGGGUCUUCCCUAUGACUGCCCACGAUUCCUGCCCCCAGCCCAACCUCUUUUGGGCCAACACCAUGAGAUCCCAGGCGAGACACUGGGCUCAGCAAGACCAGCUCCAGCAGAUUUGGGGGAGCUCCAAACAAGGGCUCUGAAGACUCAGUCUCUAGGAAGCUUGGCAGCCUCCAGUCAGCUCACUGCAGAAAAGUGCCCAAUCCUG
rnacentral:lncRNA from 1 species